ACACGGAAAAAUAAAAAUCGGCGACGAACCAGACGCCGAAGCGAGCAAGCGACCCACCCCGUUCCCAUCCCCGUCUCCUCCUCCCCCUCUCCAACCUCCCCUCCAUCGCCACCAGAAGGGGAGUGGGGACAGCGCAGACCCUUGCUCCGAUUCCCCUCUCCUCGGCGGAAGUAGCAGAGCGGGCGCUGCGGCGGGCGGGCGGAGGCCAUGUGGCCCGGCUGCGGCGGGCGGUUCUACUGGGCGCCGGGAUCGGCGCCGCGGGGGCAGGCGAGGGGCGUCGCGGUGGUCUUCGCGUGGGUGUGGAGCGACGAGGCGCAGCUGCGGCCGUUCGUCGAGCUCUACGCCUCGCUCGGGUGGCGCUGCCUCGUCUGCCACCCCGACCUCGUCGCGCUAUAUCUCUCUGAGAAAGCAACAUCACUGGCAACUGGUGUCAUUAAUGAGCUGGUUAAGGAACUGAAAGUGAAGCCUUUGCCAACUGUUCUUGCUUCCUUUUCUGGUGGCUCUAAGGGAUGCAUGUACAAGGUUAUUCAGUUACUAGAUGGAAGAUGCGAAGGAGAUGCAACCACGAAGGACUACCGGUUAGUGAGAAACUGCAUCUGCGGGCAAAUUUAUGACUCUAGCCCAGUAGAUUUUACCAGCGAUGUGGGCACCCAGUUUCUCCAAAAGCCUGCUGUUGGAGAUUCAUCUCAGUCAUCUAUAUUACAUUCCUGGAUGGCAAAGGCUCUGGCAUCUGGCAUGGAUACUCUCUUCCCAAGCAGAAUUGAGGCUCAGCGUGCAGAGUACUGGCACACACUAUACUCAUCAGCAGGAUUGGGUCCUGUUCUUAUAUUUUGCUCAGAAGAUGAUAAUCUCGCUCCAAGCCAUGUUAUAUGUGGUUUUGCGAGGCGUCUGAUUGAACUAGGCACAGAUGUUAAACUUAUGAAAUGGAGUGAUUCCCAACAUGUUGGUCAUUACAAUUCACAUGAAGCUGAAUACAGGACAGCUGUAAAUGAUAUGCUGAACAAAGCUCUCAUUACCUUCUGCCACCGAAGCCAGCUGUAUGACUCAAAUAUGGCCGGUGAUAAGGAAUACAAGAUAGCGCACUCAGUCUGCAGUCUACACAAUGCGGCAGCCAAUUCAAAUGAGAGCUUAAGAAGGGUUGCUAACAGUCCUAGUGAUCACUUCUUCCUGCCAAGUUCGAAGAAUCAUGAUGAAUCUAGCGAAUCAGGUUCUCUGAUUGAGGAGCAGAGGCGCCAAUUGUCCCAUCCACCCAGCAUGGAGCCUAAAGGAGUCCUUGGCCAGAUCCUGUUUGAUGUUUGUGUUCCAAAGAAUGUUGAAGGAUGGGACAUCAAGCCGACAGUAUUCCCAAAUGGAAGGCCAACAUUUGCUUCAGCCAGGCAACUUGGUCCUUUCAAUCCCAUCAAGUACUUCAGACGUUCAAGACUAUAGUUUGUUGCAGGAGUUGAGAAUUUUGUGUAUAUAACGGAGGCAAGGUGUGUCUAAUGAUAACUCUGAGCAAGAUUUCACCUAUAUAUUGCUAUCUGAGUAACAAUCCAAAGAUGCCUGUGAAGACGUUUGUAUGCCUGCGUUCGCUUUUUUACUGUUGAAAAAACUACCAGUGUUUGGAUACUUUCUGAAGCUCCUUCCUCACCCGUUUCCUCAAAUUAUUGGAUUUGCAUGGGACUAAAUGCUUGUUCAAUUGAUAGAGAUGGGUCAUCUAGCACACGUGCCCACCUUGAACUCGAACCCAAACAUCCACAUUUUCUUACAAGCUGGAUCUGUUAUAUC